rnacentral:misc_RNA from 1 species
CAGCUCAGCGAUGAGAGUCUUUUGCUCCCCAUCCAUGGCCUUUUCCAUGUACAAAAUGCUGCAAGAACAAUUAUAAUUUAACAAAAGCAAGGAAAUUGAAGUAUUGGAGAAGAACCAAGAAGCAUGGAAGUUGAGCUUGCAGUAUGAGAAGGAUAUGUGGGUAUCCAAGAUUCUCCCACUAAAACAGACCAAACCACCAAAACAUGAGAGUAGAAAUGAUUCCAAAUGACAAGGGUUGAUGGGGGCAAGUGAGAGAGAUAUAAGCCAAGAGAAAGAGAUGACAAAGCUAUUUGAAUGCAAGAAAGGGAGAGGCUUUUCUUAGUAACGAAGCUGUGAGGAACAUGGGAGAUAUAUGAAGGGAAAAGGGGAAGAAAAAGAUAAAUUUU